rnacentral:antisense_RNA from 1 species
ACAAUGCCUCUGACUUUUUCAUAGGACAGUUGGCCGGUGAAUCUUAUUAAUAGUUUACCACAAAUAAGUGUUCAUUUUUAGUCUAGAAGGGACAGGCGUUUAUUGUGCAUUGGCCAGUGCCAGCACAUCCGAUGCAAGGCAGUUCGCCGUAUUCUAUCUUUAAUUUUUACCAUGGUCCUCUGAGGUAGGUGUUCUUAUCUCUCUCUCUCUCUCUCUCUUUUAAACAGAGGAAGACAAACAUAAAGAUGAAGUGCUUAAUUCAAGGUCACACAAUGUCGGGGAUGGACCUCCAGAUUUCCUUACUGGAAAACAAGCUCAGGGCUCCCACUGAUUGUACAUUAUGAGACGGAGUCUUGCUAUGUUGCCCAGGCUGGUCUUGAACUCCUCACCUCAAGCGAUCCUCUCGUCUUGGCCUCCCAAGUGUCAGGAUUACAGGCAUGUGCUAUCACACCCAACCUGAUACAUUGCCUUUAUAAAUUUUUUUUUCUUUAUUCUAAAAACCAGAAAAAACAAAACUGGAUACAUGUGCAGAACAUGCAGGUUUGUUACAUAGCUGUACGUGUGCCAUGGUGGUUUGCUGCACCUAUUGACCUAUCCUGUAAGUUCCCUCCCCUCACCCCCACCCCCCAACAGCCCU